rnacentral:rRNA from 1 species
CGUCCCUUGGAUGCUCCCUAAGGAGACCUCAGGUCAGGCGGGGCUACCCGCUGAGUUUAAGCAUA